GAAUAAAGUACCUUGGACUAGAAACAUAUAUCUUUUUUUUAACUCAAGUAUAUUCCUUGGAGCUACAAAAGGGCAAAGGUAGAGAUUCAAUGAUGAUCACACCUAUAAGCCAUGGGAGGCAGACUGCAAAAGGCAAGUGUUCGACUGGAAAAACAGUAAGUCCAAUGUGCCUAUGCAUUUUAAUUAAUUUCUGACUCCAAUCUCUCCAUUCACAAUGUGAAUUGGUGGUAUUUUGUAUUCCGAUAUAUAUAUAUUAUGUUUGGUCUCUUAACCCUCUGGUUUGUUUUUUUUUUCCCUUUUCUCUUUGUCCUACAAUGUCUGUCGCCACAAACCAGCAAAAUGCACAUUGGAUGUGACUCAUAAAUUGAGGGUCUAAUGAUCCAAUCCUUUUGUUGAAGAAAUGGAUGCCAAAUAAUUAGAUGAAGCACGCUAAUGCCUGCAAACUGUUUUCUCACGGAAUUGUCUGUUGUUUUAUUGUAUGUAUCAAUUGAUCCCUGCUUUUCUCAUUAAUGUUACAUUUCGACCCUAAUAUUUACCUCCAUUAAUUAACUUGAAAGAUUCAAAACUAAUCCAGUGAAUAUUUUUUACCAAACAUGUUAUCUCUUAAAAUGUUUUAGGUUCAAUUAUUCUUCUUUUCUUAGCCUAAAUCUUCUUCAUUUCUCGCUGUUAUUUUUCUUUCUGAUAUACAAUAUGAGCAUAGUUUUAUCAGCAUUACAAUGCUGAUUGAUAUAAGACCCUAAAUCUUCUUCAUUUCUCGCUCUGUUAUUUUUCCUUCCGAUAUACAAUACAAGAGCAUAGUUUUAUCAGCAUUGCAAUGCUCUUAUUAAACAUCAAUUUCCACCAAAAAAAUAACAGAGCGUAGUUUUACAAGAGCAUAGUUUUAUCAGCAUUGCAUUGUAAAUAGUCCUCUAUUGAUGGAACACAAACACCAGAAACCAAAAUUAUCAACAAAAUCCACACAAAUCAAACAUCAACAAGACCUUACAGAAACCAAAAACAUCAACAACGUUCACACAAAUUCUAAGAUCCGAUAUCCAAAACACAAGACUUACAACAUCUGCUACAGGAAGGAGGAAAAUCAGAUCAAUGUGUCUGUGGAAAGAAGCACAUUCCAAACCCCAAAAAUCUCAAGAUGUGCAAAGCAAAAGAAGUAGCAGCACCCACUACAAUGGCAUAGAGUGGCAAUCUCACAACAUCGAGUGAAGACAGGCUUACCAAAGAGGCAAGAGUCGAAGCAGGGAGGAGGAGGAGGAGGAAGGAAGCGCGUCAGAAACGAGGGCAGUGGCGUUGUCAUGUCAUAUAUGAAGGGAGGUUGGCUUUUGCGGUGCAGAUAGGGUUAGUUUUGUCGGGUGGAGGAGACUCGUCGAUGGCGCUUUGGGGGCAGCAAGAGACCAUAGGGUGCACAGGAUAAGGCGCUCUCUCUCUCUCUCUCUCUCUCUUCAUGAUCAACUCUUCUAGCAUCCUAAUCCCACAUCGUUGACCAAGUUGACCCUCUUCCUAUCGAAUGUUGACUUGCAUGUUGACCAAAUUACCGCCCUUUCA
rnacentral:lncRNA from 1 species